rnacentral:rRNA from 1 species
UACGUAGGGGGCAAGCGUUGUCCGGAAUCAUUGGGCGUAAAGAGCAUGUAGGCGGCUCGAUAAGUCCGCUCUGAAAGCCCGGGGCUCAACCCCGGGAGGCGGGCGGAAACUGUCGGGCUAGAGUCCGGAAGAGGCGAGUGGAAUUCCCGGUGUAGCGGUGAAAUGCGCAGAUAUCGGGAGGAACACCAAUGGCGAAGGCAGCUCGCUGGGACGUGACUGACGCUGAGACGCGAAAGCGUGGGGAGCGAACAGG